rnacentral:rRNA from 1 species
UACGUAGGUGGCAAGCGUUGUCCGGAUUUACUGGGCGUAAAGAGCGCGCAGGCGGUCGAAUAAGUCGAAUGUGAAAGCCCCCGGCUCAACUGGGGAGGGUCACGCGAUACUGAUCGACUUGAAGGCAGGAGAGGGUAGUGGAAUUCCCGGUGUAGUGGUGAAAUGCGUAGAUAUCGGGAGGAACACCAGUGGCGAAGGCGACUACCUGGCCUGUUUCUUGACGCUGAGGCGCGAAAGCUAGGGGAGCAAACGGG